UACGUAGGGGGCGAGCGUUGUCCGAAGUUACUGGGCGUAAAGCGCGCGUAGGCGGGGGGUUAAGUGAGAGGUGAAAGGCUGGGGCUCAACCUCAGUAGUGCCUCUCAUACUGGCCUUCUUGAGGGCGGUAGGGAGAAGUGGAAUGGCUGGUGUAGCGGUGAAAUGCGUAGAUAUCAGUCGGAACACCGGUGGCGAAGGCGGCCUCUUGGGCCGUUCCUGACGCUGAUGCGCGAAAGCUGGGGGAGCGAACGGG
rnacentral:rRNA from 1 species